rnacentral:piRNA from 1 species
UCUAAACUCGGUUUCAGAGUGAUGCCGC